CGCCGCGCGAGCGCCGCGGCGAGCGCCGCCGCUCCCUCCGGCGCCCCGAGAUCGAGCGGGAUCGUCUCCACCCGCGGCGCCC
rnacentral:tRNA from 1 species